rnacentral:rRNA from 1 species
AUUGAACGCUAGCGGCAGGCCUAACACAUGCAAGUCGAACGGUAACAGGAAGAAGCUUGCUUCUUUGCUGACGAGUGGCGGACGGGUGAGUAAUGUCUGGGAAACUGCCUGAUGGAGGGGGAUAAAUACUGGAAACGGUAGCUAAUACCGCAUAACGUCGCAAGACCAAAGAGGGGGACAUUCGGGCCUCUUGCCAUCGGAUGUGCCCAGAUGGGAUUAGCUAGUGGGUGGGGUAACGGCUCACCUAGGCGACGAUCCCUAGCUGGUCUGAGAGGAUGACCAGCCACACUGGAACUGAGACACGGUCCAGACUCCUACGGGAGGCAGCAGUGGGGAAUAUUGCACAAUGGGCGCAAGCCUGAUGCAGCCAUGCCGCGUGUAUGAAGAAGGCCUUCGGGUUGUAAAGUACUUUCAUCGGGGAGGAAGGGAGGAAAGUUAAUACCUUUGCUCAUUGACGUUACCCGCAGAAGAAGCACCGGCUAACUCCGUG